rnacentral:rRNA from 1 species
AUUGAACGCUGGCGGCAUGCCUUACACAUGCAAGUCGAACGGCAGCACGGGAGCAAUCCUGGUGGCGAGUGGCGAACGGGUGAGUAAAGUAUCGGAACGUGCCCAGUCGUGGGGGAUAACGUAGCGAAAGUUACGCUAAUACCGCAUACGAUCUAUGGAUGAAAGCGGGGGAUCGCAAGACCUCGCGCGAUUGGAGCGGCCGAGAUCAGAUUAGGUAGUUGGUGGGGUAAAGGCGCACCAAGCCGACGAUCUGUAGCUGGUCUGAGAGGACGACCAGCCACACUGGGACUGAGAAACGGCCCAGACUCCUACGGGAGGCAGCAGUGGGGAAUUUUGGACAAUGGGCGAAAGCCUGAUCCAGCCAUGCCGCGUGCAGGAUGAAGGCCUUCGGGUUGUAAACUGCUUUUGUACGGAACGAAAAGGUUUGGCCUAAUAAGCUGAGCUCAUGACGGUACCGUAAGAAUAAGCACCGGCUAACUACGUGCCAGCCGCCGCUGUAA